AUACGGAGGAUGCGAGCGUUAUCCGGAUUUAUUGGGUUUUAAGGGAGCGUAGGUGGGAUAUUAAGUCAGCUGUGAAAGUUUGGGGCUCAACCUUAAAAUUGCAGUUGAUACUGGUUUCCUUGAGUACGGUACAGGUGGGCGGAAUUCGUGGUGUAGCGGUGAAAUGCUUAGAUAUCACGAAGAACUCCGAUCGCGAAGGCAGCUCACCGGGCCGGAACUGACACUGAUGCUCGAAAGUGCGGGUAUCAAACAGGAUUAGAUACCCUGGUAGUCCGCACAGUAAACGAUGAAUACUCGCUGUUUGCGAUACACUGUAAGCGGCCAAGCGAAAGCGUUAAGUAUUCCACCUGGGGAGUACGCCGGCAACGGUGAAACUCAAAUGAAUUGGCGGGG
rnacentral:rRNA from 1 species